GGCAGCCCGGGCGCGCCGGCAGCCCCGCUCGGAUGGAGGUCCUGGACGAGUUCGACAGCGAGUUCCCCCAGAGCGUGACCUUCUGCCAGCUCAUCUCCGAGGAGGACUUCGAGAGGCAGGCGGCGACCUACACCGAGCGCGCCCUGCGCCGCCUCUUCCGCAGCCUCGACCGCAACCCGGCGCUGGCGGAGAGGGUGGUGCGCAAGGGCAAGCAGGCCGAGCUGGAACAGCGCGGGCUCGCCUCCUUCCUCUGGGUGCGGCCGCGGGCUCGCGGACGGGAGGGCGGGAGCUGUCCCCACCGCGCUUGCUGUCCCCGGGGCGGGAGCUCUGACGUUUGGAGAUUUGGGGGCUGGGUUGGGGGAGGGCGCCGGGCCUAGCAGGGACUGGCAGAUGGGGUCUUCCAGAAGCCUGGGGUGCCCAGCCUGGGGAGUGGGGUGAGCGGGCGUCUUACUCCUUGGGCUUCCUCCUGCCCGGUGUCUCCCGCUGUUGUCGCAGGCAAAGUUCUUCAGUGCCGUCCAGGGGGACCUGAACCACUGCAACAGCAUGGGCGCCCUAGAGAUGCACCAGCGCCUCGAGCAGCUGAAGCGGAGCAUCCACCGCGUGCACGUCUACUCCCGAGAUGCCAAGAAGAGGAGAAGGAAGCUAAAACUGAAGAAACCAGAGCCCAUCCUCCUACGGGACCGGUCGACCUCCCCGUGCCUGCCACCAACCCUGCUGCCACCUCCACCGCUGCUGCCACCACCACCUGCCACCACCAAGGCGUCUCUGGGGGCUCCAUCACCCCCUGUCUACACCAUGCCCAGGGUCUUUGGCCCCUUCCCUCCGCUGCCCAGCAAGUCGGUGGAGAAUGUGGACAUUGCAAGGUCUGAAGCGAAAUUAAACUGGAAUGGCCUGUCGCCGAACCCCAAGAGCUGCAUGGUCGACCUGACCCCCUUGGUUCUCAACCCUGGAGGCUUCCAUUUCUCGUACUUGGCUGGGAACAGCUCACACAAGCUCCAUUGCCCCACCUUCCCCUGGAACUCGGCUUGUAGUAGCUCCCCCAACGCCGACGAGACUCCAGCCCCUGCUGUGAAGGCCUCCAUCUUCUCCCCGCCUGUCCUACUGAAAUUCCAUCCUGUGCCCAGACCCAAAGACGACUCAGAGAACGACCCUGGCAGCACAGAGUCUGUGACCCACAAGAGGAGCCCAUAACCUCUUCCCUACAGACUGUGGCCCAAGGAAUGAAUAAAGUUCCUGCAGAGGUGCCUACCCUGGGCUGGGAACCCUAGGGUUGUGCAAUCCCCUGAGCUCCCUCUGGCCCAAAGAGGUGCUCAGGGUCCUGUUGGCACCAUUGAGGUCCCCUCAGUUGCAGUCUACCAUGACAGUUCAGUCAUGUACACUUUGAAAGAGAAACAGGGUGGGGGAGUGCUCCCUUCCUUUCAGUGACUCUGGAGCCCUCAGGCUCCUCUGGACCCAAGUGAGUUCUAAGUCUAGUGUAUUUUUCCUACACCUGGCCCCUAAACACAUGGUGGCAACUGAUGCACAGGUUUAGAAACCACUGUUUCUAAAGUGGUUUCUAAGUGAUCUAGGCCAGGCACUGUGGCUGACGCCUGUAAUCCUAGCACUCUGGGAGGCUGAGGUGGGAGGAUCACUCAAGGUCAGGAGUUUGAAACCAGCCUGAGCAAGAGCGAGACCCUGUCUCUCCUAAAAAAAUAGAAAUUAAUUGGCCAACUAAA
ensembl:lincRNA